AAAAAAAAAAAAAAAAAAAAAAAGAGGACAGUGUUUUGAAGGAUGUUAUUUCCAUAGCUGGAAGUCUCAGACGUAACCUGAAACACCUGUGCCCUGGGUGUGCUGUCCUGGCAUGGAGACCCUGCCCUCGAGGGCUGGGGUUGCACGUGGCCUUGGCCAGGGCCUCUGGACACCAAGUGGGACUGAGAAAUGCCGGAACUGGGAGGGAACUGAGGAAGUUGCCCAUGUGUGUGACACUGUGGCUAGGCAUGGAGGUCUCUGAGCUAAAAAUAAACCUAAUAAAAGGAGCACUCCCAUGUGGAGCACCUACGAACUACUUUACACGUCAACGUACUGAACCUCCACCUUGAUCCUGGGGCUCCUUUGCUCUUAAGCUUCAUGGCCGCUCAAUGACUCAUCAGGUGGGUGAUGCUGUCAUCACCAUUGUUCAGAUGAGAAAUUCCAAGGUACAGGGAGGCCAGGACAUUGUUCAAGGUCACCCAGCAAAAUAAGAUGCAAACUCCAGGCGAUCAGGGCUCAUGAUCGAAGCCACAGGACAAAGUCCCCGUCCGUAAUGGUUCCAUCCAGCUAAGGAUGUGGCCGAGCGGGGCAGGGAAAGCCCAGGACGAUCUCAGGAGACGGUGCCUGGCUGUUGUCACUUCCACUGAUAGAGAAACUCAGCAGGGUGUGGCCAAGACUGGCUGCACGGGCAGAGCGUGGUGGGAAAGCAGAAGAUACCGGAACCGGGACCUCGGAACUCCAGGUGGCUGGGGAGAGGCAGGCUUCGCUGGCUGCUCAGGGCGCUGAGUCUAAGAACCCCAGAGGGUGGAGGAAGGGGAGAGCCGUCCCAGGUCUGGAAGCGUAGCGUGCAAAGGCGCGAGGCGUAGACCAGGGUGACGAAGGUGACAGAGCUCAGGACGGUCUUGCCUCCCAGGGCCUCUGCCGAUCCCCGGGGUUUCUGCUCUAUCAAGAUGAUGCUGCUUGAACUGGAAGUUGGCAAGGCCGGGAAGGACCUCGGGCUACACUUUGGGUAAAUGCAUAGAGUUCUAUCCAGCUAGCUAACCACUCGGGUUUAACCAUUUUGUGCCACUUAAAACUCCAUUCCAGGCAGGCUGAUUUUCUACGUAGCCUGUUUACUCCCCUCAUGCUCGCUCAGCCUUGGCCUUGCUAAUUUCCCUUCCAAGCAUGCCCUCUUGUGUCCUUGAUGUCUAGCUCUCAACUGUAGUCCAAGUCUGGUUUGGAUUUGGCUUCCUCCAGGAAGCAGACCAUGCUUCUCCCACCCGGGAGCAGCCACCUCCUCUUUCCAACUGCCUUGUGGCGAUGACGGCUUCCUAUCUUGUGUGUACGCCGUACUCCCCUGUUAGAUGGCAGUCUGUGCAGAUAAAAUCCCUUUUAAUUUGUUGUCUCCUGCACCUCGCCGAGGAUCUAGCCUGUGGUAAUAUGCAGUAAGUAGUUGAAAAUGCAAUGAGGAGCGCAUUAGGAGCUGCGGCUCUGGGCUCCCGUUAGGGCUGUUACUGCUGUAGUGAACCGGGCAGCAGGCAGAGGAAGCCCUGGGCGGAGACCCUCCGGAGAGCGCACAGAGACUUUAAUGUGUGGACAAGAGGAGUCCUGUGUUCCGCGAGCUCAGCUGUGGGCCGUUUGAGGCUUCUCUGUCCCCUGCCUGUUCGAUGGAAGACAGAUCACUAAUGCUUCUCUCGGUUUGACAGCUCAGUACGGUUUGGAACGGUCCUGAUGGGGUUCAGAACGCGGUACCCAGAAGGUGGAAUCUUGGCGUUUGAGAAAGCAGCAGAAGCAGGAAGCUCAUUCUCACCUUCCCUGCCCACUCCCCCCCCCCCCACCCCGAGCCAGUCCUAAGACCCUCAUCAGGGACGAGCCCACCCUUCCUUGGUCCUUAUCUUUGAAGACCCAGUGACACGGAGAAGACCCUGCGCACAGAGGCCCUGCUGAGCCCCCUUCUGCCCGCCUGCCCCUUACUGUUGCCUCCUCCCCUGGUGUCUCAUCACGUUUCUCUGCAACUCCCUUCACGAAGCUGAGCCUAAGAAGACACAGGUUCCCCUGUGUCCUUGGAGCUUCAUGUCCCAGGGCUCCUGUGUCCCAUAAACUUACGGUAAGUGAAUUUGCAUGCUUUUUACUUGGCACGCUGUCUUUUGUUGUGGGGGCUUCAGCCCCAAACUCCAGAUGGGAAGAACAGCUAUUUCUUCUUCCCUCCAGCACAUUUCUCUGAUCUGAUGGGGCAACACAGUGUCCGAACAAGGCUGGGAAGGGCCUCGAUUCAGCCGUUCUCUCGAAUUCCAAAGACCUGAUAAACCUGGGCCCUUUUUUCCCCCCUUGGUGCCAGAUCAGCUCUGCUUAUCGACUGCUAUUUUAAUGAAACCUCCUGGUACCGGCUCAGGAAGGAUAUUUUUAUUAGAUACGACUGGGCGGAUUCUCAUGUUGAAAGCAUUUGGUGUAAAACAUGAACGCAUCCAGGCCUCAGAUAUCUUUCCAAAUAUUUCCUUUGAAAUCGGAAAAUUACCAAGGAACUUGUGAUAAAAAGAUGAAAAAAGGAAUUCAAAAGCAGAGAUGACGUGCUUCUCUCCUCGCAUUGCUGCCUGGGUGGGACUUUGGAAACCCACAACAGUAGAAGGUUCGAUGGGGAGAGGAGCUGAGCGAGCAGUCCAGGCCCUGGCUGAGCCUGAAGGGCCAGGAGGAGGGUCGGUGGUCUUGUCCGGUGCUCUCCCCGCCCUUGCAACUUCCCCACUGGGGACUGAAGUCGCACCGAGGCAACGAGGCCAGCUCUGGCUCACAGAGAGUUAACUCUGAAUUCACGAUGUGCCUGGCAUGAUGGUGGCUGAGUCCCAGCACCAGAGAGAACAUUGCCAACGACAUUUAUAGCGAUCCACCCUUCCUUCCCCAUUGGAGAUCUCGUCGGAGCUCAUCCACCUUCCCCAGCUUGAAAUACAGCAGAGAUAGAGACUUGAAGCCCGCGUUCAAACACUGGUUUUGCCACUUUAUGGUUCGGUGAACUUAAGCAAGUCAAUGUACUCCUGUGCCUCAGUUGCCUUAUUGUUAAAAUGUGCAUAAAUAAUAGUGCUUGCAGGAGCGGGAUGGGAGAUAAUUUAUAUAGCACAUUUAACCAUACCCAGUAUUAUUAUUAUUGUUAUUUUUAGAUUUCAUUUAUUUAUUGGAGAGGCAGAGUUAUAAUCAGAGAGAGGGAGAGACAGAGAGAGAGGUCUUCCAUCUGCUGAUUCACUCCCCAAAUGUCUGGAAUGGCCAGAGCUGUGCUGAUGUGAACCCAGGAGCCAGGAGCUUCUUCCAGGUCUCCCUCAUGGGUGCAGGGGCCCAAGGACUUGGGCCAUCUUCUACUGCUUUCCCAGGCACAUCAGCAGGGAGCUAGAUCAGAAGAGGAGCAGCCAGGACUCAAACCAGCGCCCAUAUGGGAUGCUGGCGCUGCAGGCAUAGUAAGAUUUAACUUACUAUGCCACAGCGCUGGCCCCUCAUAGCUGGUAUUAAACACUCAGUCAUUGCUAGCGAUGAAUGCCAUUACCAUACAGACCCAUCUGGCUCGGACCAUGGAGAGUGGGAGGGAUGAGGAAUUAGACCUUUUCCCUCUAGGGACGCGCAGUAAUCACCUGUGAUCCCUGGACAGUUUCCACAUGUACGUGAGCCUUUCUCAGCUCCUGACGGUGUACGAGUCAUUGAGAUUGCUCCCCAGGUUAGCAAAUGUGCCCCGCGACGCUUAGCAAGAAUGCGUGAGCUGCUCUUGUCCUCUAGUGAAAGGUGGAGGCAGAGCUGGAAUCCAGGGCAGAUUCAGGUCAUCCGUAAGGGGCCUUGUUUUCUCCAUAGAGCGAUUUUAGAGGUGCAUUUUGGAGGAUACCAAACAAGGACAAUAAGAGCCAUACAUUUUUUGGAAAUAUUUAUUUUAUUUAUUUGAAAGGCAGAUUUACAGAGAGAGAGAGAGAGAGAGAGAGAGAAAUCCACUGGUUCACUUCCCAGAUGGUUACAGCAUCCGGGGCUGGGCCAGACCGAAGCCAGGAGACUUGAACUCCAUCCAGGUCACCCGCAUUUGGGCCAUCUGCUGGUGCUGCUUUCCCAGGCGCCUUAGCAGGGAGCUAGGUAGGAAGUGGAGCAACCGGGACUCAAUCCAGGGCACCUAUGGGGUGUUGGUGAUGCAGGCAGCAGCUUAACCCAUGUGCUAGGAUGUGCUGGGAUACAAUUAGCAAGACAUUUAUCUCCAGAAUUCCUGCUGCUUACCCAGUGCACCCAAGAUGACUGUCCUAAAUUUCUACUGAAAUUCCCCCUUGCUGUCAUUCAAUCUUAUCCUCCUAGCUUGAUGGGUGGGGAGCCUGAGGCUCAGAGGAGCCACUAGGCACUGGCAGGACCUCAGCAACUUGGGAGGGAAGAGAUGCUGGUGGUGUAUUCUGGAGAAGAACACACGGCACUUGGGCUCCUGUUGGUUUCACUCAGCAGGGCUUGCAGGGAUGUGUGAUUCCUUCACUCCAACCAGGAGAUCAGAGCAGCCUAGUCUGAGAUGUCCCCUGGGGCACAGCUGUUCCAUGAGCUCUUCGGAGCCUCCACCUGGGCCGACCUCCAAGUCCCGGCCAGUCGUGCCUCUGCCCCCCCGCAGGUUUCCCAGCUCACACCUUCCCCUUCCUGCUUCUCCUUGGUUGCUUCCUCUCGAUAGCAUUCCCUGGCCCAAGUCCUUUAAGACACUGGAAAUACUGGAAAUUUCAAAGUCCUAGCUGGGCCUGGUGCCCCUGCUGGUUGGCUGCCUGGUCUGGGCUUCCUGUCCAGGCUCCACUGGUUCUUCCUUAUUUCUGGGGACUGUUUGCUUUGCUCUCAUCUCUUUGUGGAGACAUCUGCUCCCCUGGCCCUUAUCUUUCCUGAUCUACACCGUAACUCUGGCUUAUGGACAACCCUAUCUGGGGCAAGCUGGGACCCUCAGUAUUAUUUUUCUCCCUUCCCUGGCAGCAUGGAUGAUUAGAGUAGUGGCCUUGGGCCAAGUAACCAGGUCUCCCUUUUGCUGGAAUAUAUAAGCAAUGGGAAAUUUGUUUUAUCUUUAAAUUUUUUUUGGCUUAUUUUCAUUUUAUUUGAAAGGCAGAGAGGCAGACAGAGAAACAUCUUCCAUCCCUUGGUUCACUCCCCAAAUGCCUGUCACAGUCGCAGCUGGGCCAGGCUGAGACCAGGAGCCUGGAACUCAAUCUGAGUCACCCAUGUGGGUGGCAGGGAGCUGGGUUACCUGCUGCCUCCCUGGGUGUGCGUCAGCUGGGAGUUGGAUGGGAAGCAGAGGAACAGGAACUCCAAGCGUGUGUUCCCACCUGGCGUGUGGGCUCCCCCUGUGCUGACCGAACUGCUACACCACAUCUCAGCCAUGCCGGGUUGUGGAGUCCCAGGCGGCUCUGUGGCUUGGUCAGCGAUGUGCUUCCUGGACAUGGGGUAGGCAAAUGCCUGGCAGAUUCAUCAUUCAGAUCCAGAGCUGCGUGACUCCAAACCCAUCUUCAAUCAAAAUGAAGUUGGACCUUGGAUUGCGAGACCAGUUUCAUUGUGUAGCUGAUGUGGGUUUUACAGUGUCAUCUUUCUGCUCCCAUUAUGGAUGAAUUCCACUUUCCCAGGCAGCGUUGUAAUUUGUACGGAGUGCACAAGGCCCAGCUGCCGGAGGCUGAAGGUACCGAGAAAGUGCGGAAGGAGUUACAUUCCUGCAUCAAUGGCAAAAUGCAUCUAGGUUUUCAGAACCUAAUGAAAAUGGAAAAUAAGUGUUUGUCCCAUGAUUCAGGACGUUUGGUAAGUUCUGUGAAGGGCCAAAGCUCCUUGCUCCCAGAGGGGGUCAGGCAGAGCUGAGAGGAGAGACCAAUGCCCUGGAGAGCCCGUGCCCGCAUGUCUGCAGCCAACACGAGACCGACAGGUACUUGAGGAGAGGCACAGGGUCCUGUCCCUGCGGGGCCCGCGGCGCCUGACUCAAUGUCCAGCACCAGUGGUAGAGAUCGGGGGCUCUCCUCACCUCCUUCCAGUUUCCGAAGCCCACGCCCUGUCUCUGUCUCCACGUUGGGAGGCUGUGGCAAGCACCGAGUGAGACAGCGCCACCCACCGGUCGGUGCAGGUAAGUUCUCAGAGAUACCACUUGUCCCUUCUUCCUCGUGCUCUGUCUCCUCCAAAAGCCUUGGCCUACUGGGGUCCUUCCGUGGAAACUGAGCUUUGCAAACUGACUCCACAGACCCUUCUUGAGGGCACGCUCCGUCUGUGAGAAGACGCGUCUGUUGGCUUUUCUCUCUCCCCAGAGCGGAGGGCACGGCUCUCUGUAACCAGGGCCUGGAUGUACCCCGAGCUGGAGCCGGCAGAGGCGUGGAUGCUUGGGCUGCAGGGUCAGCGGCCACCCCAGGGCACCCCUCCUCUCUGCCUCCUCCCCUCGUGGGCAUACGACACUGCCCCUUGAUGAAGUCCAGGUCCUAGGUGUGGCGCCCAAGUGUUGGUCCUUCGGCGCUAGCUGCACUUGCAGCUUUAGUUGGGACUUAGGAAGAGAAGCGUGCCUUGGAUUGCAGCAGUGAGAGGGUCCCUGUCUUUGUCACCUGCCCAGAAUGUGGGAGGUGUUAGACUCAUCCCACGAGAGGUAAGAAGAGCUUUCCCUUCCGAAGAAGCAAUUCAUCCACUUUCUCACGGCUGGGCUUUGGAAGCAGGAAGUUGGAAUUUGAAGUCCAGUUCCGGGUUUUUCUGAGCCAUCUUCUGUGCUGUUCCCUCUGCCAUGAGCACCUCUGCUGGCAGAAAUGGCCCCACUCAAAAGCUUCCUCACCAUCGCGACAUGCCACCUCCUUCCUGAGGCCGAUGCAUUGACCUUUUCAGAGGUAAAAAAAAAUAUAUGCAUAUUAGUGGUUUUGCUCUCAUUUAAAUUCAUCCAGGUAGAGAUGAACCUUGUAAGCUGUGCUGCAGGUGAGGGUUACUUCCCCCAAGAACAGUAGGAGCCAGAGAAGCAUUUAGUGCAGGGGAUGAUAAGCUCACACCGUGUGUUAGAUCACUCAGGCAGGGUGGUGGAGAACAGACUCUACAAGGGAGAAACAGAGGCCAUUAGCAACCCAGGAAUUAAUUGGGUUUCUGUCUGCUGGUACUCAGACCCAUUCCUUUGUUUUCCUCUAAUCUUUGCUCCCUAUUUUCAGCAAGAAGCCAGGAUACUCUCUCUCUCUCUCUCUCCCUCCCCCCAUCUCUCCCUCUCCCCCUCCCUGUCUCUCUCUCCUCUCCCCUUCUCUCCUUCUUUCCCCCAUCCUCCACUCCUUGCUAAAUAAGCCUGCUUGGUUCAUUGUUCAGCAGGAGAGCCCGGAUUCUAGUAAUUCUACCUGUUCUCUUUGCUUCUAAGGAAGGUCACAGCUUCCUGAUGCUAUGAAUCUCUACCUUAUCUCACCGGUUUGGUGGCUGUUAUUUUUCUGUGGGCAUUGACUGAGAUAGCAGUCUUUGAAAUUGUUCCUAUGAAAGAUGUGGAGCCCAGCUUAGGACUGGCCACAAGCCUGGAGAAGUAAAGAAGGUUUGGAGAGCUUCUUAAUCAGAAUCCUACCUAGAGUUUCAGUCCCUGUUCCCCUUGCCACCUGCUGUACUCCUUACCAUGAGAACAUGCUACUAUUGGACUAGUGUUUACUAGGACUCAAAUCUUGUUGGUCUUUUCAUGCCCCUUGGAGCGUCACUCAGCCUGCAGAGAAAGAUGGUGCCAUGAAGAUUUUAUCACCAACUUUCAUGUUCCUUUGGAAUAAAACACACGAGGAGACAAAAUUGAGAAGCAAGAAACAAUUUCCCUUCUAGUCAGUGGACCAGGGAGGAAUGUCAACUGCAAAGGCCAGGAGGCAGAAUCAUUGAGAACGUUGAAGCCACAUGUAUCAGAAGGUCCCUUGAGAAUGAGCCCUGACCUUGACAUCAUCUGGGAUCAUCUAGAUACGGGCAUUCUACGUGCAUCUGUUUGUAUGUGAGGCUGAGGGCAGUUGUGGUGAAAGGCUCUCCUUGAAGGACUUGGGUUAUUUGGUUGAGUGGGAAGGACUGACUGCGUACAGUCUUAAGCAAAUGGAGACCAUGGGACAGAGACUCAUGUCAUUGGUUUCACCUGCUCUGCCUAAUUUGGAAGGUGGAGCUGUCAUAACUGGUGGGUCAUUAGAAUAACUUUGAAGCAAGAGUACAGGGAAAUUGCUCUGAUCCAGCCUUUGGAUUUCAGUUCCUCCUCUCCAAAUCAGGAUCACACAUGCAGGCCAGCUGUCCACUUGCACGGUCCUGAUGGAGGGUCUAAGUCAGAGGCAGGGGUGGGCUGACGGUGUUUGGCGCAUUGGCUUAGAGGCUGCUUGGGACGUCUGCAUAAAGGAGUGCUGGUUCGAGUUCCAGUCCCUCAGGUUCCACCCCAGCUCCCUGCUAACGUGCCUGGGAAGGCAGCAGAAGAUGGCCCAAGUGCUCAGGCCCCUGCCGCCCAUGUAGGAGACCAGAAUGCAGUUCCUGGCUCUUGGGUUCAGUCUGGCUUAGCCCUGGAUGUUGUGGUCAUUUAGGGAGUGAACCAGUGGAUAGAAGAGCUCUGUUUCUCUCUCUCUCUCUCUCACUUUCUUUCUCUCCUUUCUGUGUCUCCCCUUCUCUAACUCUGUUGUUCUGCUUUUCAGAUAAAUACAUAACUAAACCUCAAAAAAAGAAAGAAAAAGGAAAGAAAGGAAGGAAGGAAGGAAGGAAGGAAGGAAGGAAGGAAGGAAAGAAGGAAAGAAGGAAAGAAGGAAAGAAGGAAAGAAGGAAAGAAGGAAAGAAGGAAAGAAAGAAAGAAAGAAAGAAAGAAAGAAAGAAAGAAAGAAAGAAAGAAAGAAAAGAGAGUCCCUAGGGCCGCUGGGUCUCUGCAAACCACCCUCACAGUUUGUGUUGAGUUCUCUCGGGCGUAGUGGGCAGGAGCCCUCCAGCCUCUUCCCGCGACGCCUAGAUCCUUACACCACGCCCCCUUUUAAUUGUUCCUGCUGAGGAGGAAGUCAUUAAACUGAAAGAACCAGCAAUGGUGCUUGUUCCACCAAAGAGAGUGGGGACUGGCACUGAGAACCCUCCUUCCGGUUCCUCCGUUGCAGCCUCCUGCUGCAGUGCUGGGCGGGGCCUAUCCUCAGGGCCCUCUUCUUCCCUUUCCGGAUUCCCUGCGCCUGAGGCUGGGUGGGUCAGUAGCCUGGCUGCUUGUUCACAGUGCACGUCUGUAUCCCGCUCCACACAGCAGGGUCUAAAUCUGCAAAGCUGAGCAACGGGUUUGGUGACCCCCAAAGCUCUCUUACACCAGGGUUUCCUGGUGUUUGGGGCUGGGUCAUGUUUGCUGGGGGUGGGGGGGGGGCUCUAUGUACAUCACAGGCUGGUGCCAGCCUUCCUGGCCUCCACCCUCUCUACUUGUGACAAUCAAAACUGUCUGCAGAUAUCACCAAAUGCCCCCAGAGGGGCAAAACGGCCCCCACCGAGGACUGCCGCCCUCCAUUUCUGGCUUUCAGCUCGCACUUUGCAGGACCGGACAGUUGCUUAUGGUUUCUGGACACACGUGGGCCGGUCUCAGAAAGCCGCAUCGCUGCUUGGUUCAGCUCUCUCUUCCUAACUCACAGCCAUGUACGGAGGCCUGGCCCAUGCACCCUAAGGGAAGCUUUUCCUCUUGGGUCCCUUGAGUUGGCCUCAGAGACUCCAAGCUGGCAGCAAGCCACCAGCAGGGGCGUCACCUGCUUCCUGGCCCCUGAGAACUCCUGGGGAUGGUUGGUUUGGCUCGGAGCCCACAGAGGGGAGAGGCCGAUGUGGAGGGAGCAGGGCAGCCAUGAGAGAAUGCAGGAAUGGGCCCAGGAAUGUCCGUAGCUUCAUUGGAAACAGAUGCCUGUGGAGGUGGCUGGCUGGGGCCCUGCCUGCCUCGGGCCAGUGUACUUGGCGGCUGCUCCUCCCCACAUCCCCCUCCCUCCCCUCUCCUCCCCACCCCCACAAGCACCACCAGACCAUUAUUUAAGAGAAGGGCUCUGAUUUAAGGUAAGCUGGAGGGUGGGGUGGGGGGUGAUAUAGGAAUAAAACCUGCUCUCUUGGGAACAUAAACGUACAUGAUAUGAUUAUAUACGCAUCUGAUCACAGAUGGCUGAGAUUAAAGAACAUCGGGGAGUAAGGGCCCAUUCAACAUCCUCACAUUAAAGAGGAGAAAUCAAGACUGAAACCAGCAACAGCCCAGGAAUCCAGAGGGAGAUCGCAAACUCGCCUCCUCACGGAGACACGGGCAAGCCUUGGGGGCUCCAGCUGACCUUACAGCGCGUGGAAAGACGCUGCAAGCCCCGCCAGUAGACGCGACACAGAUGAGGUCCCACAGGCUGGGUCUCCUCCAGGGGCGGGGUCUGCUUCCUCUUCCUGGGCACGCAGAGCAUUUGGCCGGGAGCUCACCGGAGCCCUUCGUACGCAGUAGCUGGCUGAAUUCUCACAGCUUUCUGAUAAAAGAUGUAUUACCACCAUCGCAAUCUAUCAAGGAGAAAACGGACCCCCGUGAAGACAUGUGGCUCGUAACUUUUGGACCCAGAAUCUAAACUGAAAUCUCAUUGGCUCCCAAGUCCAUCAUGGAACUGUCAUCCCAGGGCACCAGAGUGACGAGCCAUCAUUUUCCAGGCUCAGCUGUCACCCAUGGGGCCCCGGGGACUCCAGUCUCCCCUGAGCUCACCUCUCUGCUGCUCCAUGACUCACGGACACUCUCGGAUACCGCUGUCUUCACAGAGCGCCCUCCUCCUCUCUCACUUCCCUGUUUGACUUCCUGGAUCUCCAGGCUAAAGGGCUUGGGGGGCGGGGAUUGAGAAGCAGGGGCCUGUGAGAAACCUUGUGGUCAGAUGUAAGUGGUUGGAAUCUGAGCUCUACUUAACCUGAGACAUUCUUGACCUUCCUCAUCCUCAGUUUUUCAGUCUAUCAAAUGGGAAUAAAUAUAUGAAUGGACAGCUUGAUGGAUGGAUGGAUGAAAGAGUGAAAGGAGGGACUGAUUAAAAAAUGAAAUCACUAAAUUGAAGGUGACAGGUGGCAGGGUAACGCUGACUGGAAUUCACAUGCAUGAAUGGGUCAGCGUGAUAUUUGCUUUGAAGAGAUAAGAUGCUCUCUCUCACUCAGGAUGAGAGGGCCCACAAGUGCAAGGUAGGAGGGAAGUGAGGUCAAGACCAAGUCAGUUCUGUCUUAGGUCAACAGUUACCGGAUUUGUGCUAAGAAUCAUCAGUUAGAUGUUUCAUAAAACAGUGUUCUAUGGUGAAUUGGGGAAAUUUAACCUGCUCUUGAAGAUUUACAUCUAUAAGAAUAUGUUGAUGCCUUUGAUGUCUUAUAGAUUUUAUAAUAAUAAAAAAUAAGUACUUAAAAUUCAGUGAUUUUGAAAACCUUUGCUCCCAGGAGGAAGCCCAGGCUGCGGUAUGGGCACUUUGCACAGCAUGGCCGAGGAGGCACAGCACUCUCAAACCUGUGUCCCUUUGCAUGGGUUGGUGGUCACCAAGAAUCCACAGUGGUGUGGGUGCAUUCUCCCGGGUGGUCAUAGGAUGGAAUUAGGAUUGGGUAAGCUCUCCAUUUCACAGAUGAGUGGGUGGGGCUCAGACAGGCCGAAUGCAUGGUCUGAGUUCACACAGCUGGAGACAGGCAAGUUGGACUCCAGGCUAGAUCACGCCAUGCCAAGUUGGUUCUUUCAGAACCGUGUUUUCUCCUGCUGGGUAGCUGUAGAGGCCUCUGGCGUCUGCUUGGCUGUGUCUCAUGGCCAGACCUCUUGAGCUAGGCCUGGGCAGCCGCAGGCACUUCGCUUUGUGUGUGUGGCAGUACUGAGUGCACUUCAUCGCCUGCGAAGCCCCUCUCCAGCAAAGGACAAUGCAGCCAGAGAGAAGGCUCGCGCCAACGAAGGCAGUGAUGCCACUCCCGGUGGAGCACUUUGCAGGUUUAGGAGUCCUUUCACACAUGGUGUCCCUUUUGAUUGUCACAGCUGCCUGUGCACAAGCAGGCCUGGCGAUCUUUUGUUCUCAUCUGACCAGGAAGAGAGCUGACGUUCAGAGAGGUUAAGACGAAGCGAAAACUCACGCAGUGUUUUCCAAAGCAAGCCAGCCACUCAACUUCACCUCCUCCUUCCUGACUAUUUCCAACACCUGGCUUGGUGUCCCUUCUAGUGCACGGUGGAAACAAGUCUUCCUUGGUGCCUCACUGGCUUCCUGCCUUUAAAAUGAAAAUUUCAAAAUAGAGAAAUACUCGGAGACAAGAGAACAAACACCUGUAAUCCUGUCAUCCACAGAUAACCACUGUGUGUUUGCUUCUUGUAAUUGUUUUAUGCAUAUUUGCCUAUUAUUAAAUUUUCUCCAGAGCAUAAUUUUAAAUGUCUGCAAAGAAUUGCGUUUUA